rnacentral:rRNA from 1 species
GAUGAACGCUGGCGGCGUGCCUAAUACAUGCAAGUCGAGCGAACAGACGAGGAGCUUGCUCCUUUGACGUUAGCGGCGGACGGGUGAGUAACACGUAGGUAACCUACCUAUAAGACUGGGAUAACUUCGGGAAACCGGAGCUAAUACCGGAUAAUAUUUCGAACCGCAUGGUUCGAUAGUGAAAGAUGGCUUUGCUAUCACUUAUAGAUGGACCUGCGCCGUAUUAGCUAGUUGGUAAGGUAACGGCUUACCAAGGCAACGAUACGUAGCCGACCUGAGGGGGGGAUCGGCCACACUGGAACUGAGACACGGUCCAGACUCCUACGGGAGGCAGCAGUAGGGAAUCUGCCGCAAUGGGCGAAAGCCUGACGGAGCAACGCCGCGUGAGUGAUGAAGGUCUUCGGAUCGUAAAACUCUGUUAUUAGGGAAGAACAAACGUGUAAGUAACUGUGCACGUCUUGACGGUACCUAAGCAGAAAGCCACGGCUAACUACGU